rnacentral:rRNA from 1 species
GAUUUCUGGCGAACCGUUGCGGCCCGUGCCCGUUUCGGGCGUGUGUGCCGUGUCGUGUUUGUCAUUCUUCCAGAAAGCUGCGUCUACCAUUCACUUGGCCGGGCAUACGCGAUCUGGAAAAAUUAGAGUGUUUAAAGCAGGAUUAUGCUGUGAAUACAUUAGCAUGGAAUAAUAAUUUAGGACGGUUCUAGGACUGAAGUAAUGAUUGACAGGGACAGUUGGGGGUGCCAUUCUUGGAUUCGCGGAAGCACA